GGUGAUCUGCCCAGAUGUGGUUUAACUUGUUUAAAUCAGAUAUCAUCAAGGCUCUUUCCAAGUGUUUACUUGGAUGAUAUAGUUUAUAUGGACAGGAAGCAGCACUGUGUCCAGGAAGCUUUAGAAGGAAGUCCUGAUUUGAAGAUUUAGCUUUGUUUUUAAUGGGCUGUUUGCUUCUUUAUCUCAGUGGCAAGUGAAGGAGAGUGUUCGCUGGCAGGUGAGGAUAAAUUCCUCAGUCACGAAGUCUCUUCCAGUCGGAUCACAGCUCCGAAUGGCAUUAAAAACAAUUGGAUUGCACUUAAAAGUCAGGCCGUACCUCCAAGCCAAACUCUGCCAUGGGAAAAAUGGCAUUUUACAGUCGAGCAGUGACAGCGAAAGCCUGCAGAAACAGAGACUGGAGCUGUGGGCGUCUUCCGCUGCUGUCUCCACUCCACAUGAUCCGCAGUGUGUAGAGCUUCAUCUUCACACGGCUUAGAAAACUUCUGGAUACUAACUCUGAGGAAGCCAGGUAUUCACAGGGAGCCGCACAGUGGCCCGAGAAAGCCUUUUGUCUUGUGAAAUUACCAACACAUUUCAUUUUCCUUGUUCCUUUCUGCUGGAAUCCCAGGAAAAGCGGAGACUCAAACAGAAAUCAAACAGUAUUGCGGUCGGAGAGCCUGAAAGGACGGGGAAAGCAUGCUCUCUGUGUCCAUUCCGCAGUGCCGCCAUCUUCCCAGCUGUGCCAGACAAGCCUCUGCCUCUCUUGUCUAUGAGGAUCCAUGAGGAUUCUGGGAUCAAGGAACUAACUGCCACAGGUCAGAUGGGCCGCCUGUCUUGUCUCAUCAGUGACCUGUCUUGUGUUCUUCGGGGGGUUGAUACAGCCCGUCUCGGCUGUCCUGACUGGACAGAGGAUCAGAGGUCUGUGUGCAGCUUGUGUUUAGUGUCCAGUCAGACCCACAGGGCAGCCCGAGUCACUGGACACAACAAGGGCCUGACAAGCUCCGCUGCAGGAGAAGGAGCUGCUGCAGGACAAUUAUCCGUCUUACAAGAUGCGAAGAGUCGGGUGGUCGGAGCACGGGUGCCGGCAAUGAGUCCCACAACAAACCUACAAAGCGACACGAUCUGACCGUCUGCCUCCUCCUGCUCAGCCAGCUGGACGCUUCGCGAGGGUGAAUGUAGGGGCUUUGUUCAAAGCCACGGACUGGAGUGAAAAUUUGACACCUGGCCUAAUUGGUUAAUUGGUUAACUGGCAUUCAGCGUGGAGGCAAUAACACAGGGGGAAAAGGAGCACAUUGCAUGGGCUCUGUGGGCACUUGGCCACACCCUGGGAUUAAAGCUCAGGUGUACUGUAGCAGCCUGGAGGACAAAGGUCAGAAGGCUGCGUCUGGAAGAGAGGGAGAGCUCCCAAGUGAACGUAGAGUCUAGCGAGCACAGGUGUGGUCUUUCGGCUCCUGUUUUUUUUCACCACCACCAGCCGACAGGCUUGCAAGCUGUACGUCAGGAGUGAGAGUGUGAACGAAGAACUUGCAAGGAUUCAGACAGGAAAGAGCCAGGGUAAAUUGUACCUCACUCACUGCGGUAAACUACUAGAGCAUUUCGUUUCUAAGCCUCCGGUGUCUCAGUAGGGAAUGGGAUUCGUGCUGAUUAAAGUACAGUGGGAAGACUGGGUGUAAAGGUUUAAGCAGAGUAGAGUCUGAGUAGAAAAGGGACUGAAGAAGGGAGGGUUGAAAAGCAGAGGAGGAAUUAAAGUGACUGUGCUACUUAAAAGCACCGAGCUUGAUCGAUGGAACACUGGACUGUGCAGGCUUCUCCAGAAGGAAGGGUUCCUUCCACAAGUCUUGGUACCCAUGCUGGGACAAGCAGGCUGGGCUGACUCAGAGCCAGGGCCAGAUUUUGGUGUUCGUAGGCCCUAGACACUUUCACUCCAAAUUGUGCAAAAAGAGGGGUUAACGCCAAUUGAAUGACGUCGAUUGACGUGAUGCCCUUUAAACUAUCCUCGUGCUAAACCACGUGACUGAUGGAGCGAGCCGAGCGACCCUCACUUCGAUACUUCUAGGUUCCAGAACAGCCGCUAGAAAGCGCGUGAUUCGUGAUUUGGAGCACCUGGAGUCGCACGCAAGCAUGUUGCUUCAGCUCAUUUUUCGUUAGUCACUAGUGUCUCCCUCCUUCGUAGGCCCUAGGCACUGUGCCUACAGUGGCUAAUGGGAAAUCUGGCACUGCUCAGAGCUCCAUCUGGUGAAGAGGGCUGACCCCUGAGCCACACUCAUCCAACAGACAUUUUAAAUAGCUAUCCUCUGCUCUGCUGCACCUGUGGACACCGGGAAGAUCACUAGCAGGGUGAAACCAGACACCUCAGUGAGACCAGUACGAGACCAGGCCAGACACCUCAGUGAGACCAGUACGAGACCACGCCAGACACCUCAGUGAGACCAGUACGAGACCACGCCAGAAACCUCAGUGAGACCAGGAGCCCUCCCUGAACGUGGCCCUGGGUCUCAGUGUGUCAUCAGGGACUCUACACAGCUGCGGCGAUGGGUCCGGCGGUGUGUGCAGUGCCAUCUGUGGAAGCCUCCCCCUGCCAUGUGAGCGACGUGUCUGACUGCGGUUCGCUCCAGGGACGCAGCGGGACGACAUGCUGAGCGAUCAGGCACCUCCGGCUCGGGAGCAGGCGCACAGACAAUAUAGAUAAGGGCGCACUUAGACAACUAAUUCAGUUUGCUGUUGGCAUGAGUGAGGAGGAAACAGGCAGAGCUCCAGGAUGCAAUUCUGACAUAAUGGAGAUCAAUCUGGAUAAGAUUCAGAAAUGAGCAGAGACACAGCAUGCACGUGCAAUUAGAAAAGACCAGGGUGUUGAAAUUAAUCCGUCAGAGUCAGUAAUACAUCCACACUCUGACACUCGGCUCCUUUGCUUGUACUCCAGCAUGAGAAGGCUGAGUUUCAGUCUAGAGACAGGGCAGAGGCAUUUAUUUUCAGUAUAGACAUGAAUGCACUGCUUCAUUGGAAUAAACAAAAAAAACUAAUUUAUUUCUUUGGAAACCUACUUGUGCUGUUCCCAUCAUUUUACCCGGGCCAGAUUUCUUCUAAGACAUUAUUAGAUCUGCCCUGUCUGGACC